GAAGCGAGCCAGGUCGCCGCCGGUGCUGCCCUCGGGCGGCACGGGAGGAAGGUCCGGACUGCACAGGGCAGCGUAGCAGCUAACGGCUGUCCACCGCGAGGUGAGGAUCAGAGCAACAGAGACGAGUCGGUGUGGCCGCCGCAAGGCGGGUGCACCGGGUGAAACGGGCAAUCUCUACGCGCAGCAAUACCAAAUAGGCCGGCGUCGGUCGGGGCUUCGGCUCCGGCCUGGAAGUGUGGCUCCGCACGAGCCGGCGGGUAGGUAGCACCGAGCCGGGCAGCGAUGCCCGGCCCAGAGGAAUGGCGGCCACGGCGGGGGCGUCGCAAGACGCCGCUGCUGCACAGAAUCCGGCCUAUCGGUUCGCUUCACUC
rnacentral:RNase_P_RNA from 1 species